GUAGGUGAACCUGCGGAAGGAUCAUUAACACGUUCCAAACGUAUCAACCAACCGCGAAUUCUGACGUUAGUGACCUCUCUCCGGAGACGGUUGCGCCUGAGCUUUGUUUAGGGGAAAGUGGCUGUCUAGGUCUGACUUAGACAGAGUACUUCCUUUACACACUGUUCACAUUAACCCAAACCUUUAUUUUCUUGUUCAUUUCUCAGUAAAGGACGUGGCGUUCGCGCUAUUGUCUUUUAUUACAAACUUG
rnacentral:misc_RNA from 1 species